UACGUAGGGGGCUAGCGUUGUCCGGAAUCAUUGGGCGUAAAGCGCGUGUAGGCGGUCCGAUAAGUCCGCUGUGAAAGUCGAGGGCUCAACCCUCGAAUGCCGGUGGAUACUGUCGGGCUUGAGUACGGGAGAGGCGAGUGGAAUUCCUGGUGUAGCGGUGAAAUGCGCAGAUAUCAGGAGGAACACCGAUUGCGAAGGCAGCUCGCUGGAACGUUACUGACGCUGAGGCACGAAAGCUAGGGGAGCAAACAGG
rnacentral:rRNA from 1 species